GAGUUGGUGGAAAAAUAUGUUCGUCUCGAUUUUGAUUUUUGCAUUGUUGGUGGUGGUGUGUCCGUCAAUAGCAAUCACACUACCAAAUGGAUUCACGUUCAAUGAAACAAAGUAUUUGGACUUGAAAUCAAGGCUAAUUAUGCACUGGAGAAAUGCGAAGAUGCUACAGCCGGAUGUUCCAACGAUUGUUCAGCAAAAUUGAUCUGCGAUGGACGCUACAACGCCAUUGACGCUUACCCGUGUGAUUCGUUUAAACCCUACUGUGUGCAAAAUGUUACCGACACACCGCUUUGUUUCGGCAACUUUCCAAUGAGUAAUCCAGCAUGUGUAACACGAGCCAUAAACAAUUUCGUCUGCACAGAAGACGGACAGUUCCCUGAUCCGACUGACUGCUCCAAAUACCAUGUGUGCAAAGGCAGUUCUCAUUCUAUCGAAGAGUGCCCAGCCAGUCAUCAUUUUAUCUCAGACGGAAACAUGGAAGAUAUGCACUUGAACCCCGGCAGUGGUCAAUUUAGUUGUCGAUUUAGAAAUGAGAACGAUGUUUGUUUGUGCCACCGAUUUGAAUGCGAAGCAGCACCAAACACAUACGUCCUCCGUCCCGACGACUAUUUCAAUUACGCUUACUGUCUCCAAAUUGGAACGACCAGCAAAGUUGUGAUGUUUAAAUGUCCGAGUGGAAGCAGACACCGUGGCUGGGACUGGAACUCACCAACGCCAGCUGUGGCUUCUGUUGAGUGUUUUCCACUUGGUACACAGGUCUAAUUCGGCUCGUCCGAAUAAAUCACCAAUUUCAGUUUUGGCGCGUAAUUCAAGUUUAUAGAUGACAAUAAAGAUAGA